rnacentral:rRNA from 1 species
AGAGUUUGAUCCUGGCUCAGGAUGAACGCUAGCUACAGGCUUAACACAUGCAAGUCGAGGGGCAGCAUGGUUUCAGCUUGCUGAGACUGAUGGCGACCGGCGCACGGGUGAGUAACGCGUAUCCAACCUGCCCUUUACUCCGGGAUAGUCUCCUGAAAGGGAGUUUAAUACCGGAUGUGUUUGUCUUUCCGCAUGGGAGCGACAAAUAAAGAUUAAUUGGUAAAGGAUGGGGAUGCGUCCCAUUAGCUAGUUGGCGGGGUAACGGCCCACCAAGGCGACGAUGGGUAGGGGUUCUGAGAGGAAGGUCCCCCACAUUGGAACUGAGACACGGUCCAAACUCCUACGGGAGGCAGCAGUGAGGAAUAUUGGUCAAUGGGCGGGAGCCUGAACCAGCCAAGUAGCGUGAAGGACGACGGCCCUACGGGUUGUAAACUUCUUUUAUAAGGGAAUAAAGUGCGUUACGUGUAAUGUUUUGUAUGUACCUUAUGAAUAAGCAUCGGCUAAUUCCGUGCCAGCAGCCGCGGUAAUACGGAAGAUGCGAGCGUUAUCCGGAUUUAUUGGGUUUAAAGGGAGCGUAGGCGGGCUUUUAAGUCAGCGGUCAAAUGUCACGGCUCAACCGUGGCCAGCCGUUGAAACUGCAAGCCUUGAGUCUGCACAGGGCACAUGGAAUUCGUGGUGUAGCGGUGAAAUGCUUAGAUAUCACGAAGAACUCCGAUCGCGAAGGCAUUGUGCCGGGGCAUAACUGACGCUGAGGCUCGAAAGUGCGGGUAUCAAACAGGAUUAGAUACCCUGGUAGUCCGCACGGUAAACGAUGAAUGCUCGCUAUGGGCGAUAUAUUGUCCGUGGCCAAGCGAAAGCGUUAAGCAUUCCACCUGGGGAGUACGCCGGCAACGGUGAAACUCAAAGGAAUUGACGGGGGCCCGCACAAGCGGAGGAACAUGU